GGACUACUGGGGUAUCUAAUCCCGUUCGCUCCCCUGGCUUUCGCGCCUCAGCGUCAGAAGAGGGCCAGCACGUCGCUUUCGCCACCGGCGUUCCUUCCGAUAUCAACGCAUUUCACCGCUCCACCGGAAGUUCCACGUGCCCCUACCUCCCUCAAGACAGCCAGUAUCCAAGGCAAUUCUCCGGUUAAGCCGAAGGAUUUCACCCCGGACUUGGCCACCCGCCUACGCGCCCUUUAAGCCCAGUGAUUCCGAACAACGUUCGCACGGUUCGUCUUACCGCGGCUGCUGGCAC
rnacentral:rRNA from 3 species